GAUGUCCGUGAUGAGGACAGAGAUGCAACUGUGAGUAUCUACCAUUUUAGAAUGUUGAUAUUUUAUGCUUCAAUAUUGUUUAUGUACAUAAUGUAAUUAUGCUAUGUAUUGACAAUGCACAAAGAUGUUUUCCAUCUGCAUCCAGGACCUACUGCCAGUCAUCCAGAUGUAGCUCAAGAAAGAAGCAGCUGAAGGAGGAAGGCAGAGAGUACUGGCAGCAGAGGAGGUGGCAUUCUGGGAGGAUGGCAGCUAUGAGGGGGUGUCAGGAUGGCCUGUGGUGAGGUUGAGACCCCAAGUUCCCCCAACCAGAAUCUCAGUGACGUCGGGUCUAAGCUACAGGAGAGACGUUGGGCCUGUCCUGAACGGAGCAUAAUGUUGGAUCAUGUUUGGGCAAAAAAAAAACACUGCCAGAUAGUCCAGAAAUGGACAAGCAUUUAUGUCUUAUUUUGUGUGCAAACAGUAAAAAAAAACAAAAAAACAAAUGAAAGAAAAAAAAUUCUGUGCCUCAAUUAUGUUCCUCAUAUAUGAACAUGUUGCAUAUAAGCAAUAUCAAAUGAAUAUAUUUUAGUACAGCAUUUAUUUUUUAUAUAGAUUUUUUUAAAUACAGCGUUAAAAAUAUUAAUGAUUGGGGCGGGGUUUAUUUAUAAAGACAUAAGUGCUGUCCAAUGGGCACACAUCAACCAACCAAUCACAUGUCAAUGAUGAACUGUGAUGUCACUGUUUUUCAUCCAAUGACUGAGAAUCCACGUGGGUCUACUGAAGCGCCUUUGCAUAUGCUAGGCCAGUGGUUCUUAACCUUUUUUGAGGUACCGAACCCACCAGUUUCAUAUGCGUAUUUACUGAACCCUUCUGUAGUGGUAAAUAAUCCCCCCAAAUUCAAGACAUAGGGGUGACCCAACUAGAGUCUAGUUGGGUCAACCCCAAGAUCACCAAGUCUUCUUA